rnacentral:rRNA from 1 species
AUUGAACGCUGGCGGCAGGCUUAACACAUGCAAGUCGAACGAUGAUUUCCCAGCUUGCUGGGAAUGAUUAGUGGCGGACGGGUGAGUAACAUUUAGGAAUCUGCCUAGUAGUGGGGGAUAGCUCGGGGAAACUCGAAUUAAUACCGCAUACGACCUACGGGUGAAAGGGGGCGCAAGCUCUUGCUAUUAGAUGAGCCUAAAUCAGAUUAGCUAGUUGGUGGGGUAAAGGCCCACCAAGGCGACGAUCUGUAACUGGUCUGAGAGGAUGAUCAGUCACACCGGAACUGAGACACGGUCCGGACUCCUACGGGAGGCAGCAGUGGGGAAUAUUGGACAAUGGGGGCAACCCUGAUCCAGCCAUGCCGCGUGUGUGAAGAAGGCCUUUUGGUUGUAAAGCACUUUAAGCAGGGAGGAGAGGCUAAUGGUUAAUACCCAUUAGAUUAGACGUUACCUGCAGAAUAAGCACCGGCUAACUCUGUGCCAGCAGCCGCGGUAAUACAGAGGGUGCGAGCGUUAAUCGGAAUUACUGGGCGUAAAGCGAGUGUAGGUGGCUCAUUAAGUCACAUGUGAAAUCCCCGGGCUUAACCUGGGAACUGCAUGUGAUACUGGUGGUGCUAGAAUAUGUGAGAGGGAAGUAGAAUUCCAGGUGUAGCGGUGAAAUGCGUAGAGAUCUGGAGGAAUACCGAUGGCGAAGGCAGCUUCCUGGCAUAAUAUUGACACUGAGAUUCGAAAGCGUGGGUAGCAAACAGGAUUAGAUACCCUGGUAGUCCACGCCGUAAACGAUGUCUACUAGCCGUUGGGGUCCUUGAGACUUUAGUGGCGCAGUUAACGCGAUAAGUAGACCGCCUGGGGAGUACGGCCGCAAGGUUAAAACUCAAAUGAAUUGACGGGGGCCCGCACAAGCGGUGGAGCAUGUGGUUUAAUUCGAUGCAACGCGAAGAACCUUACCUGGUCUUGACAUAGUGAGAAUCCUGCAGAGAUGCGGGAGUGCCUUCGGGAAUUCACAUACAGGUGCUGCAUGGCUGUCGUCAGCUCGUGUCGUGAGAUGUUGGGUUAAGUCCCGCAACGAGCGCAACCCUUUUCCUUAUUUGCCAGCGGGUUAAGCCGAGAACUUUAAGGAUACUGCCAGUGACAAACUGGAGGAAGGCGGGGACGACGUCAAGUCAUCAUGGCCCUUACGACCAGGGCUACACACGUGCUACAAUGGUAGGUACAGAGGGUUGCUACACAGCGAUGUGAUGCUAAUCUCAAAAAGCCUAUCGUAGUCCGGAUUGGAGUCUGCAACUCGACUCCAUGAAGUCGGAAUCGCUAGUAAUCGCAGAUCAGAAUGCCGCGGUGAAUACGUUCCCGGGCCU